rnacentral:rRNA from 1 species
AUUGAACGCUGGCGGCAUGCCUUACACAUGCAAGUCGAACGGUAACGCGGGGCAACCUGGCGACGAGUGGCGAACGGGUGAGUAAUACAUCGGAACGUGCCCAGUAGUGGGGGAUAGCCCGGCGAAAGCCGGAUUAAUACCGCAUACGACCUACGGGUGAAAGCGGGGGAUCGCAAGACCUCGCGCUAUUGGAGCGGCCGAUGUCAGAUUAGCUAGUUGGUGGGGUAAAAGCCUACCAAGGCGACGAUCUGUAGCUGGUCUGAGAGGACGACCAGCCACACUGGGACUGAGACACGGCCCAGACUCCUACGGGAGGCAGCAGUGGGGAAUUUUGGACAAUGGGGGCAACCCUGAUCCAGCCAUGCCGCGUGCGGGAAGAAGGCCUUCGGGUUGUAAACCGCUUUUGUCAGGGAAGAAACGGUCUGCGCUAAUACCGCGGACUAAUGACGUACCUGAAGAAUAAGCACCGGC